rnacentral:lncRNA from 1 species
ACCCACCCACAUCCAUGGCAGAUAACAAGCAGAGCCAGGACUCCAACCUCCUAGAGUCCAUCGCUGAGACACUGCUGAGUGGGCUGGACAGGAAGUGGGCACCACCAGUGGACUAGCAUGGAGGGUGAGGCGCAGCAGAGGGGACCAGCCAGCAGCCUGAGGCCACACUGGGGCAAAGAUGGGGCAUCUCUGGACCUGCUCUCCAAUGUUGAUCCACCAAUGUCAGGCCAGAAGCAGUUGUACAGUCAACACAGCAUGUGAUUUCAGAGAAGGUAAAAGGUCUAAGCUCACUUCUGGGUGUGAAAACCCAUCAAUCCUGCACUUGAUCCAAGCUCAAGACUUGAAAUCCCCAUCCUGGAAAUCUCCACCCUAGAAAAUUCUGUCCUCAAGAAACCCUAUAUAAAGCCUGCCUCCCACUCAGUUCACUGCUGCUUCCCACCCAAGCAGAGGUAGCCACCCUCUUAUGUCUUUCUCAAUAAAUCUCUUGUGUGAGGUUUGUUGUAUGGUGUGACUUUGUGGUAUUCCUUGGCUCCCAACUGCCAGGAUGCCUUUCCCCUCCGAGCUGCACUUUUACUGGGGAAACUUUUCCUCUCAGAGUUGUAACACUUACAAUGUGUUUUGCCAGCAUGUAUUUAUGUGUACUAUAAGUGUGCCUGGUGCCUAAGGAGGUGAGAAGACAUCAAAUCCCUUGGAACUGAACAUUGUUGUGAGUCACUGUGUCAGUGCUGGGAGAAGAACCUGGGUCCUCUGGAAGAGCAGCAAGUGCUCUUAUCUACUGAGCCAUCUCUCUAGCCCCUGUGAACCUAAUUUUUGUUAUAGCAUGUUUUCUCUACUAUGCAUGACG